AAUUUUUAUAUCGAAUUCAGAUAUACACCACAGAUAUACGAAUCGAAUACGAUCUAUAAACACCACUGAGUUAACCACUCGGUCAAAGCCAAAUUGGUUCAUUCCACUUACUAUUUUGGGUGAAUACGGAUCGAAUUGGAUAUGGCCAAAAUCUCAAUCCGAUCCGCCUGUACACCACAGAUAUGCGAAUCGAAUCCGAUAUAUGAACACUCUUGCUUACUAUUUUCACUACACAUAAGUAAAAUUUUUUUGUCACACCCACUCACUUGCACACACAUACAAUACAUGACUCUUCAAUCACCUCAGCUAGGUUCGAGCCUGGUGUGGCACCUUAGGAGGCAAACACCUUUG
rnacentral:lncRNA from 1 species